rnacentral:rRNA from 1 species
CCUACGGGCGGCAGCAGUGGGGAAUAUUGGACAAUGGGGGCAACCCUGAUCCAGCCAUGCCGCGUGUGUGAAGAAGGCCCUCGGGUUGUAAAGCACUUUCAGUGAGGAAGAACGCCUGGUGGUUAAUACCCAUCAGGAAAGACAUCACUCACAGAAGAAGCACCGGCUAACUCCGUGCCAGCAGCCGCAGUAAUACGGAGGGUGCGAGCGUUAAUCGGAAUUACUGGGCGUAAAGCGCGCGUAGGUGGCUUGAUAAGCCGGUUGUGAAAGCCCCGGGCUCAACCUGGGAACGGCAUCCGGAACUGUCAAGCUAGAGUGCAGGAGAGGAAGGUAGAAUUCCCGGUGUAGCGGUGAAAUGCGUAGAGAUCGGGAGGAAUACCAGUGGCGAAGGCGGCCUUCUGGACUGACACUGACACUGAGGUGCGAAAGCGUGGGUAGCAAACAGGAUUAGAUACCCGAGUAGUC